rnacentral:pre_miRNA from 1 species
CAACUACUCCCUCUAUCCCAAAUUUCUUGUCUUAGAUUUAUCUAGAUACGGAUGUAUCUAAUACUAAAAUGUGACUUGAUACAUCCGUAUCUAGACAAAUCUAAGACAAGAAUUUUGGGACGGAGGGAGUACUUU